GAUGAACGCUAGCUACAGGCUUAACACAUGCAAGUCGAGGGGAAACGAUAUUGGAAGCUUGCUUCCGAUAGGCGUCGACCGGCGCACGGGUGAGUAACGCGUAUCCAACCUGCCCAUCACUUGGGGAUAACCUUGCGAAAGUAAGACUAAUACCCAAUGAUAUCCGUCGAAGACAUCUGAAGUGGAUUAAAGAUUCAUCGGUGAUGGAUGGGGAUGCGUCUGAUUAGCUUGUUGGCGGGGUAACGGCCCACCAAGGCGACGAUCAGUAGGGGUUCUGAGAGGAAGGUCCCCCACAUUGGAACUGAGACACGGUCCAAACUCCUACGGGAGGCAGCAGUGAGGAAUAUUGGUCAAUGGACGAGAGUCUGAACCAGCCAAGUAGCAUGCAGGAUGACGGCCCUAUGGGUUGUAAACUGCUUUUAUAAGGGAAUAAAGUGAGAGUCGUGACUCUUUUUGCAUGUACCUUAUGAAUAAGGACCGGCUAAUUCCGUGCCAGCAGCCGCAGUAAUAC
rnacentral:rRNA from 1 species